CAGUAGCCACGGUAAUACGAAGGGGGCUAGCGUUGUUCGGAUUUACUGGGCGUAAAGGGCGCGUAGGCGGGCGAAUAAGUCAGGGGUGAAAUCCCAAGGCUCAACCUUGGAACUGCCUUUGAUACUGUUUGUCUUGAGUCCGGGAGAGGUGAGUGGAACUGCGAGUGUAGAGGUGAAAUUCGUAGAUAUUCGCAAGAACACCAGUGGCGAAGGCGGCUCACUGGCCCGGAACUGACGCUGAGGCGCGAAAGCGUGGGGAGCAAACAGGAUUAGAGACCCCGGUAGUCCCUGUCUCUUAUAC
rnacentral:rRNA from 1 species